rnacentral:tRNA from 1 species
UUAAUUGAAACCAAAGAGAGGUGUACCACUGUUAAUGGUAUCAAUGAAAAUUUUCCAAUUGGG